rnacentral:rRNA from 1 species
AGAGUUCGAUUAUGGCUCAGGAUGAACGCUGGCGGCGUGCUUAACACAUGCAAGUCGAACGGGGAUUAUUUCAUUGAAGCUUCGGCAGAUUUGGCUUAAUCCUAGUGGCGGACGGGUGAGUAACGCGUGGGUAACCUGCCUUAUACAGGGGGAUAACAGUCAGAAAUGGCUGCUAAUACCGCAUAAGCGCACAGGGCCGCAUGGCCCGGUGUGAAAAACUGAGGUGGUAUAAGAUGGACCCGCGUUGGAUUAGCCAGUUGGCAGGGUAACGGCCUACCAAAGCGACGAUCCAUAGCCGGCCUGAGAGGGUGAACGGCCACAUUGGGACUGAGACACGGCCCAG